AUUGAUAUUCCAUUCACUAGAAUAGGGGAUCCUGUUUUCUGCUAACAAUGCCUGCAGUACUGAGGUCGGCCUUGAACUUAUGUGGCUUGAAUGAGAGGGGGCAGUCGUUCUCCCCUGGGCUAUAAAUAGGAAGGGGAGGGAAAUCGAUGAGUCAUUAUUAAAGUCAUUCCAAUGUAUUUGUUUCAAUCAAUUUGGGAACAUUAUCUGGAGUGGCUUACUUUGAGACGGGCACUGAAUCAGCCUGCCUGAUCAGACAGAGACAUUUAAAUGCCAAUGUAUGACGUGUGAGAAAUUAAGUGGCAUGUAUGUGCGGGUGUGCGGGACAUGCGAGUGGUUUGUGUGUGUGUGGGAGUGAAAGAGGGAUGGGAGAGCGAAAGAAAGAAAAUGGUUUGGCUAUCAUUACCUCCAAUGGCAUUGCUCCAGGCUCUCACUGACUGAGAUCUAACCAGCCGGUGAGUGGAGGCUCUUUGCUUUGUAUUUGAAAGGUGUCAUGACUGUCCUGUGAGGAUUCAAAUAGGUCAGAUCAGCUUGGCAAUGGAUGGCUUCAACCAGACCCUCUGCACCCACAGAUGGGGGGGGGGGGGUGUAUGACAGUUCAAACCCUGUUGUAAAUCAAGAAUUAGAACUUUCAGCUAUCUCCCUCUCCAAAUUCACACAGAAAUGUAAUGGAAUUUGUUUCGCAGACGUUUUCCCGCCGAAACUGUAACACGUUCUAAAGCGAAUGCUGGAACAAUAUUUCUAACAUGGAACGUGGGGAAUGGACAGAGGCGAUCUAAAUAAUAAUAAUUUCAUUUCGGUUGUUAUUUUGUGAUUAAAAAUGUUAUAAAGGAAAUACUGUAACUUGAAAAGUAUAGAUACUACAUGUACGAAGUCUGUAUCCUCUACAUUGUUUACAAAAUAGUGUUUUUGUUAAGAGAGGGAAGUGAUCUUAGAAACUACAAGAGGAAAUUGUUUCUAUAACUUUGUACAAGUGAGUAGUCACCGCCCCUUGAGUGAGGUCAGAGAGCGUUUUGAAUGAACUGUAUAAAACAGUGGGUUAAGAAUUAACAUACCAGGCCAGAGAGGCAUUGAGCUGCAGCUCACGUCCAAAGUGGAUAGAACUCUAAAAUCUCAACACGAGGUAGAGACGAUAACGUCACCUCUCGGACAAUCACUGGUAUGGCUGAUUAGCUGGGAUCAUUCUACUACUCUUCAAGCCAUCGUAUGUAUUCUACUACUCUCAUCGCCCCACUGAGAACCAUCGAUACGGCUGGCUAGCCUAUCUUCAAAGAAUCAUCUUCCAGAGCGAGUGGAAGCAGAGUGAGCUCUGUUGUUCUGUUCAAGACUACACGACGGGUCGCCGGAUGCCGGGCGACGGCAGAUGAGUGCAAAAGUAGAAGAGACAGAGGACAGUCAGAGCAUUACAAGCGUGCCACAGAAAGUCCCAACCAAACACCUUUCAAAGAAGGCUUGGUUCCGACAAAUACAUUCAUGAUUUCUUACUCCGAACUGGCAGUGGUUCGUGUGAAAAGUAUAUAAUUACUGUGAGAGUAGUUUCUAAAUGUACCAAAGUAUUAUGUCUCUGUCCCUCUCUCUCUCUCUUCAUCUCCUUUGUAACAAAACGCCAUAUUGUGUCAGUCCUCUAGGGACCCGUUUUAAUGUAUUAAAUGUGUAUGUCUAUCCUGUGUUAUCAUUUAGUUCGCUAGUAAAUAAAUAAUUUAAACAAUUUGAGUAGUACUGAAUCAUAAGUAAGGCUGGGGUUUAUGCAGAUGCAGGAGGUUACGACUGUUCAGAAGGAUGAUAUGAGGUUAUGGUUAAUGAGUUGACUGUUUAUGGAUGUAAUAGGUAAAGACCUUUAGAGUUUAAUCGGGAGAUGGUAAACUCUUUAAAACAAUGCUCUUGUGGUGCCAUAAUAAUAGUUUGUUUAUUAUUAUUAGUUUAUUAUGUAUUUAAUCGAUUGACUUUUAAAGAGUUAGUUGAUUAGAUAAAUAACAGUCAUCAGAUUAAUGAAAGUAAAGUCACAACAUAGGUUAGUAUUGUGGAGUAUCUACAAUGUUGUUGAUCCAUCUUCAGAUUUCCCCUAUCACAGCCAUUACACUCUGUAAAUGUUUUAAAGUCACCAUUUGCCUCAUGGUGAAAUUUCUGAGCGGUUUCCCUCCUCUCCGGCAACUGAGUUAGGAAAGACGCCUGUAUCUUUGUAGUGACUGUAUUGAUACACCAUCCAA